rnacentral:rRNA from 1 species
GGCGGCGUGCUUAACACAUGCAAGUCGAACGAAGAGCGAUGGAAGCUUGCUUCUAUCAAUCUUAGUGGCGAAUGGGUGAGUAACGCGUAAUCAACCUGCCCUUCAGAGGGGGACAACAGUUGGAAACGACUGCUAAUACCGCAUACGAUCUAACCUUGGCAUCGAGGAUGGAUGAAAGGUGGCCUCUAUUUAUAAGCUAUCACUGAAGGAGGGGAUUGCGUCUGAUUAGCUAGUUGGAGGGGUAACGGCCCACCAAGGCGAUGAUCAGUAGCCGGUCUGAGAGGAUGAACGGCCACAUUGGGACUGAGACACGGCCCAGACUCCUACGGGAGGCAGCAGUGGGGAAUCUUCCGCAAUGGACGAAAGUCUGACGGAGCAACGCCGCGUGAGUGAUGACGGCCUUCGGGUUGUAAAGCUCUGUUAAUCGGGACGAAAGGCCUUCUUGCGAAUAGUGAGAAGGAUUGACG